rnacentral:rRNA from 1 species
UACGGAGGGUGCAAGCGUUAUUCGGAAUCACUGGGCGUAAAGGACGCGUAGGCGGGUUGGCAAGUCAGAUGUGAAAUCCUACAGCUUAACUGUAGAACUGCAUUUGAAACUGCUAACCUAGAGUAUGGGAGGGGGAGAUGGAAUUAGUGGUGUAGGGGUAAAAUCCGUAGAUAUCACUAGGAAUACCGAAAGCGAAGGCGAUCUCCUGGAACAUAACUGACGCUAAGGCGUGAAAGCGUGGGGAGCAAACAGGAUUAGAAACCCCAGUAGUCC